CGCCAGAGACUAUGGACUGCGGACGGAAGAACCCCGCCAGGGCAGGAAUGCAGCAACGGUAUUUUGCUCCUCUUUGCCGUAGUUCUCUGGCACUU
rnacentral:SRP_RNA from 5 species